rnacentral:rRNA from 1 species
AGAGUUUGAUCCUGGCUCAGGACGAACGCUGGCGGCGUGCUUAACACAUGCAAGUCGAACGGUAAGGCCCUUUCGGGGGUACACGAGUGGCGAACGGGUGAGUAACACGUGGGUGAUCUGCCCUGCACUUCGGGAUAAGCUUGGGAAACUGGGUCUAAUACCGGAUAUGACCGCAUGCUGCAUGGUGUGUGGUGGAAAGCUUUUGCGGUGUGGGAUGGGCCCGCGGCCUAUCAGCUUGUUGGUGGGGUGAUGGCCUACCAAGGCGACGACGGGUAGCCGGCCUGAGAGGGUGUCCGGCCACACUGGGACUGAGAUACGGCCCAGACUCCUACGGGAGGCAGCAGUGGGGAAUAUUGCACAAUGGGCGCAAGCCUGAUGCAGCGACGCCGCGUGAGGGAUGACGGCCUUCGGGUUGUAAACCUCUUUCAGUAGGGACGAAGCGUAAGUGACGGUACCUACAGAAGAAGCACCGGCCAACUACGUGCCAGCAGCCGCGGUAAUACGUAGGGUGCGAGCGUUGUCCGGAAUUACUGGGCGUAAAGAGCUCGUAGGUGGUUUGUCGCGUUGUUCGUGAAAACCAGCAGCUUAACUGCUGGCGUGCGGGCGAUACGGGCAGACUGGAGUACUGCAGGGGAGACUGGAAUUCCUGGUGUAGCGGUGGAAUGCGCAGAUAUCAGGAGGAACACCGGUGGCGAAGGCGGGUCUCUGGGCAGUAACUGACGCUGAGGAGCGAAAGCGUGGGGAGCGAACAGGAUUAGAUACCCUGGUAGUCCACGCCGUAAACGGUGGGUACUAGGUGUGGGUUUCCUUCCUUGGGAUCCGUGCCGUAGCUAACGCAUUAAGUACCCCGCCUGGGGAGUACGGCCGCAAGGCUAAAACUCAAAGGAAUUGACGG